GGGGAAUGUGGCACCCNUUUGGGUGUGUUAUAGCCCUGUGUUCAAUAUACAGCAUUCGAGACUGANGNGUAGCAGCGCGCCGUAAAGGCNGGGUUUCGACCACGUUCGCGCUUAGGAUGUUGGCAUAAUGGCUUUAAGCGACCCGUCUUGAAACACGGACCAAGGAGUCUAACAUGCCUGCGAGUGUUUGGGAUUGCAAACCCUUGCGCGUAAUGAAAGUGAUAGUUGAGAUCCUCGGAUUAUGAGGAGCAUCGAUGCCCAGACCAGAACUUUUGGGACGGAUCUGCGGUAGAGCAAGCAUGUUGGGACCCGAAAGAUGGUGAACUAUGCCUGAAUAGGGCGAAGCCAGAGGAAACUCUGGUGGAGGCUCGUAGCGAUUCUGACGUGCAAAUCGAUCGUCGAAUUUGGGUAUAGGGGC
rnacentral:rRNA from 1 species